rnacentral:rRNA from 1 species
UGGUGGAGUGAUUUGUCUGGUUAAUUCCGAUAACGAACGAGACCUUAACCUGCUAAAUAGACAGGCCGGCUUUGGCUGGUCGCCGUCUUCUUAGAGGGACUGUCAGCGUCUAGCUGACGGAAGUUUGAGGCAAUAACA